GAUGAACGCUAGCGACAGGCUUAACACAUGCAAGUCGAGGGGCAGCGGGGGUAGCAAUACCCGCCGGCGACCGGCGCACGGGUGAGUAACGCGUAUGCAACUUACCUAUCAGAGGGGGAUAACCCGGCGAAAGUCGGACUAAUACCGCAUGAAGCAGGGAUCCCGCAUGGGAAUAUUUGCUAAAGAUUCAUCGCUGAUAGAUAGGCAUGCGUUCCAUUAGGCAGUUGGCGGGGUAACGGCCCACCAAACCGACGAUGGAUAGGGGUUCUGAGAGGAAGGUCCCCCACAUUGGUACUGAGACACGGACCAAACUCCUACGGGAGGCAGCAGUGAGGAAUAUUGGUCAAUGGCCGAGAGGCUGAACCAGCCAAGUCGCGUGAGGGAUGAAGGUUCUAUGGAUCGUAAACCUCUUUUAUAAGGGAAUAAAGUGCGGGACGUGUCCCGUUUUGUAUGUACCUUAUGAAUAAGGAUCGGCUAACUCCGUGCCAGCAGCCGCGGUAAUACGGAGGAUCCGAGCGUUAUCCGGAUUUAUUGGGUUUAAAGGGUGCGUAGGCGGCCUUUUAAGUCAGCGGUGAAAGUCUGUGGCUCAAACAUAGAAUUGCCGUUGAAACUGGGGGGCUUGAGUAUGUUUGAGGCAGGCGGAAUGCGUGGUGUAGCGGUGAAAUGCAUAGAUAUCACGCAGAACCCCGAUUGCGAAGGCAGCCUGCCAAGCCAUGACUGACGCUGAUGCACGAAAGCGUGGGGAUCAAACAGGAUUAGAUACCCUGGUAGUCCACGCAGUAAACUAUAAUGGCUAGCUGUUUGCGAUCCACUGUAAAGCGGCACAGCGAAAGCGUUAAGUGAUCCCCCUUGGGGAGUACGCCGGCCAACGGUGAAACUCAAAGGAAUUGACGGGGGCCCGCACAAGCGGAGGAACAUGUGGUUUAAUUCGAUGAUACGCGAGGAACCUUACCCGGGUUUGAACGCAUUCGGACCGAGGUGGAAACACCUUUUCUAGCAAUAGCCGUUUGCGAGGUGCUGCAUGGUUGUCGUCAGCUCGUGCCGUGAGGUGUCGGCUUAAGUGCCAUAACGAGCGCAACCCUUGCCACUAGUUACUAACAGGUAAAGCUGAGGACUCUGGUGGGACUGCCAGCGUAAGCUGCGAGGAAGGCGGGGAUGACGUCAAAUCAGCACGGCCCUUACAUCCGGGGCGACACACGUGAUACAAUGGCGUGGACAAAGGGAAGCCACCUGGCGACAGGGAGCGAAUCCCCAAACCACGUCUCAGUUCGGAUCGGAGUCUGCAACCCGACUCCGUGAAGCUGGAUUCGCUAGUAAUCGCGCAUCAGCCAUGGCGCGGUGAAUACGUUCCCGGGCCUUGCACACAACGCCCGUC
rnacentral:rRNA from 1 species